rnacentral:pre_miRNA from 14 species
UUCUCAGAUAUGACAUUCCUACUGUUUUGAAAGACCCCCAGAGCAGGGAGACCCUCACUCAAGUCUCAGGAUGACGCGAUCCCCCUAGAACUCACACAAGACC